GCCCGCAGCCCUCAGGGCCCGGCCCGGCCCGGAGCAGGCCUCGCCUGGGAGCCUCGGGGGGACGCCCGCCGUGCCCCUGAGGGAAGGGCUCUCGGCUCCCUUGGCUCCCCCUCAGCGCUCUCCGAAACGUGGCCGCGUUGCCAGCUCGUCCUGUUGGGCAGGGAGAGGCUGCGGGAGAUUUGUUAACCGGGGGGUUGCUUUUAACUUGGUCACAGGCAGCGUGGAGGAGCUGGGAGGAGAGGGGUUAGCAGCGUGCCCGUGUGCGAGCGUUUGGGGAGAAGGAAAGAAGCCUCUCCACUGACAGUACGUGGACAGAAACAGAUUCCCUGACAAAAAGGAACAAUCCCUGGGGCAGAACAAUCAAUAUUUUAAAAGCUUUGCCCUGCCUCCCUCGUGACUUUUAAAAAUGUAUCACAAUGGGCCACACAACUGAGCGCCGAGUCCUGACGCAGUGUCGGUGCCUCUGAUGACGCAAGCUACGAACUCCUUGCUUCUCCGUAACAAAAUACACUUCUCUGUAAGAGUCAGGACUUUCAACAGCAAAUACCACCCCUUGAUACCAAAGCUCUUCUUCUCAGGGGCAGGUUGCUUGAGCUACCAACUACUGCUCUAAAGCGACAGAGGAGCACAGAGUGCUGGUUUCCCCAGGGCUGAGGAUGCCACGCAGGAUACCAGCGAAUCCAACCUCAUCUCACCAAAAGCUGCUGAGCUCCAGCCAUGCCUGGCUGUCCUUUCUGAUCCUGCCACUUGUGCUUGGGGCAUUCGAAAGGUGCUUUGUACAGCUGCAUCUAUUCUCCCAGCAUCGAUUUCCACUGCUACUCAGACACCUUCAUCUCCUCUUCCUUUUUAAUGUCCUUAAGAACUGAAGAAAUCCAAGAGCAGGCACCGAGGGAAGCCCAGGUUUGUGCUCAGCAGCAGCCGCUGCCUGCACAAGGAGGGCUGGCACAACCUCGUGCACAAACCAGCGUGGCACCAAGAGCAGCACCUGGGGAGUGCACUCAGCCUGUUUCCUUCAGAAACUCGGUCUGUAACACUUCCUGACACCUUUGAUUCAGCCUUCGCAGUGUAAAGGCUGGACCUGAUGCUUAGGGACAUGGUUUAGUGGGUAACAUUGGUGAUGGUUGGACCAGAUGAUCUUGAAGGGCUUUUCCAACCUUAAUUCUAUGUCCAAAUUUUGCUUGCAGCGUGCACACAUGUGCAAAAGUCCCUCUCUGCCAGCUCCAUGAAAGUCUGUUUUUGUGAGGCUUAGGCAGCGAUCUGGGGCUAGCACCUUGUCUAGCCAGCACCGCUCUAAAAGCAUAGAUCUGCUGCUGCUGCAUCAAAACAUACGACAACAACAGAGUUGGUUUUGAUUUAGGAUCAAUAAGACAACAACAGAGUUGGUUUUGAUUUAGGAUCAAUAAGCAGAUAGAAGCAGCUCUAAAUAAGUUAUGCUGGGAGUAAAAAUAGCAGAGAACGUGAUGUAAUCCAAAACACGGCAAGAAAUCUAAGUACUUCAAACACCCAGUCAAUUAAUUUGCUUUCAUAAUGCAAUUAUUUGUAUUAUUAAGAGAAACUCAUUUUCAUGGAUUAAAUUUACUCAGCCCAACAUAAUUCACAUUUCCUUCCCAGAUUUCUAUUAGAGAAAAUAGAUCUCAAGGCAGAUGGUACGAGUCUGAAUAAGCUGUAUAAAAAUAAAGCUGAUGUCCUUGUGAGGUUAAUGACUGCUGAGAAAAAAAACAAAAGGCAUUUCUCCAGUAAUGUGCUAAACAAAAAUUACAUUUGUAAGAUAAUCCAUAAGGAAGAAAGAGAUUCCUGCUCUUUGCUUCUCAGAGCUGCUAUCAUUUGAAUAUUGCGCAGAGAUACUACAAAAUUAGCAUGUACUCAGAAAGGGUUCAGAGAAAGAUCAGAUGAAAUUAGAUAGAAAAUAAUGAGAUUUACAUUGGAAAAGAAGGCAAAUAAAAAGGGCACAAUAAAAAUGCGUAAAUAGAUGUAGUGAUGUAAAAAAAAAAAAGUAGAUCUGGACCUUCUGCAAUCUGUGCCUCCUAAAAUGAGAGCAGGAGGUGAAAGGGGCAGAACUGGUGUAAGGAAGCAUGAUGAGAACGAAGAGCGGUAUUGGUGUCACAGCAAGGCCAGGAGCUUUGUGGUGUCUGAAAGCAAGUGUUUGGCCCUUCUGGCUCCCAUGCAAACUCGUUGUGGUCCACACGGGCCUGGGGUCCUGCGUGGCUGUCUCCCACUCCCUAUGGGGGCACAGCCACAGACCCCCGAAGCUCGCCCACGCUGCAGGCGAUGAUGGCAGCUCCCUCCUCUACCAAGCCUUUGUGGAUGGGACGAACGUGAAGGGCCACCUGCACGCAGAAGAGCUGUGGGGUCGUGUGUACUGAGGCCACCCAGCCCUGCCCAAGCACCGCCAACAGCGACCGCCUCUCACUGCCUCUGUUCUGCUGAGAACUCUACUCUCUUCUACUGGAGAGCUUACAGAGGCUUAAGCCAGUUGAUUCUCCUAUGGUUCACACUUCUACCUUGACAAAUUCUUCCUCCUUCUUCCCCGUUUCUGCCCCUAGCACAGCAGGACUCACGCUGCUGGACAAGGCAGCACGAACUCAGCCGUGUCGGCGCAGCUGCCAGCAGCCUUCAGAGGUCACGGCACCACCAGCGGCAGAGCCGAGCAGGCCUACGUAUUUUCCCUGUGCUCCCAAAACACUGAUUAAAGUUACCCGUGACAAAGAAAGGGAAUUGCACUUUGCUAAGUACCCAUUUCAUUUAAUCCAAGGUAGCAAUCAUAAUGAGCCUGUCAAGCAGAUCAGAGCGGGUCGGCCCGGAUCUGUGCAGGCCCCUGGUGUUCCCUGAGAGCUGCUUGCACACAAUCUGGAGUGAUUGCAAGUAGCAAUUAACUACUGGCAAUUAACUAAUGCCACAACUCAACGGGUCAGAGACGUGGUGCUGUUCUGACCCCGACUCACGUCACAGCAGCCCACGAGUUCCACGGUCGCUGGUUCCGAGCCUUCAGGCCUGGCAGAGGGGCACCAGAGAAGACCACCCACGCAAAACCCCACCUAAAAGCUGCCCUGGGAGUCUCAGCUAAUUACAGACUUGAAAAAUUAUUUCCACCUUUCUGCGGCUCUUUCCCCUUUCAUAAAAUAAAGCAGCAUCUCUUCAACAGCUCCUGAAAGGAUGGCUGGUGCUAACAGAACACUGCGUAAUGCAGGUACAUAAAUGGAGCCUUAUCAGGAGGGUGCACAGUUAUUUAAACAGACUUGUUUUAUGGCCCCGCCAGUCACAUGCAACAGGUUUCUAUAGGAACCAAAUUUAUUUCCAUAAUAACAAGUCAAGCUACCUGUCAAUUUAAUGAAGGUUUUAGCGAGCAGCUCCAACUCUAGAGCACUGGGGUAGACGUUUCGGAGCAGUUCAAGUGGCAGCAAAAUAACAUUUCUUCAGCACAAGGUUCUGAGUACAGGGUGCACCACCCAGAUUUCCAUCACUUUUGAUAUUCAGAAGAAUGCAACAGUUAACUUCAUCAUCUCCCUAAACACACUUAUGAGCACCUAACUCUCAUGGGCCAAACUCUCCUGUCACUUAAGUGUUGGAAAAUACUAUUUUGCACACCAUAGUCCCAAGUGUGGUGUAGCAGGGAACGGCAAAAGUCUCUCUUGUACAGCCUUAACCUCUGGAACAGUCCCGUUAAUCACUGUAUUUGGCAACCCCAGCCACUGGGGGUAAGAAAACAGACCCAAAGCAGCAGCAUGUGGAAGAGGGGUCACACUAAGGACUAGAGCUUUUUCUUGCAUUAGGAAGGAAUGAAAGGUAGUGUAGAUAUUAUUGACUUUAUUUUAAGAGAGAUUCUGCUUUGAGCAGAGGUUUGCGUGUCCGCCCCACUUGUGUUUCAGCAUGAGGUAAAAGCAGUGCUUCAGUAAAAGAGCGCCAUAGGAUUGAAGGCUGAAACUUUGAAAAGCAUUAAUUUUCAAAGCAUACCUCUUACCCCGGUCAACACAGAGAUGCUGAAGUCUGAGAAUGUCGAUAAAGACUCUGGCAGGACUAUAACCCCAGCUGUUCUUGGCUGCCUAAUCAACCUGCCACUCAAACGUAUCUCAAAUAGAUGGGGACACUGAAAAUUCCUGUUCUAGAAGGAUUAUUUCAAAAAUUUAUUUUAAAAAAACACAACAGGAUCACUUCGUCUUCUUUAUUUAUUUGGCAAUAAAAGUCAAAGCUCAUAAGAGUUACAGUAAGGUUUUAUUUAAAAAAAUAUUCAAAUUUAAGAAAUUAAAACUUGGUGUAGAAAGUGAACAAAGCUUGCUCUGUGAAGUUUGCAUUAAGGACUGAAGAUAGUUAAAAGGUCAGGAGAAUGUUUGUUACCAAUUCAUAGUAAAGCCUGUAGACAUACAGACUAGACCAGGAUUGUAUUAAUUGCUCCAGUUAGUCUUGCUAUUUAAAAAACAAUCAUUAAAAAUACUUGAGAAAAUACUUCAACAAACACAAGGAAAUGCUAUCCUACUUAAUGCUCAAGUUUCUGUCAUCUUCUCUCCCUUCCCCUAAUUGUGGGCCCUUGCAGGCAGAGGUACACCUGCUGGUGGAAGCCCUCCACACACCCUCUCAAAGCACAUUAUCUACAAACCUGCUUCUCUUAGUCAUCCUUCAGAAAAACUCUCACAGCAGCCAAGGACUGCAGGCUGAAAGGCAGCAGCAUGGAGUGCUUGAAGCUAUAUCCCAGCAUGGAUUCAAUCCAACAGUAUCCUUCCUCCCUACUACUGCUCCUGCUGUUACGGAGAGAUGUGCUGAACAAACCAGCUUCCCAAAUAUAUACCCAUAAAGCAAUUUCAUAAGUAGUCAGUUUGUGAUAAAUAUCUGAAGUAAGAAACACCACAGAGAAGACACAGAAAUUGAACAAUGUCAGAAAUACCAGUAUUACAGAUAAGAGGCCUUAAUUACUGGUCAGGACAUCUUGUCAACUUCCAGAGCUCCUACACGAGCAUCAAGCUUGAUUUUAUUGUAAUUAUUUGCUCACUGAUGAUCCACAGUUCACAGAAGCACAUUAGAAGAUGACUUAAUUCAUUUAACAUUGGCAUUUUAUUCCCUUACUUUGAAAACAGCCAUGAAUAAAAUACAGUAGCUUAUUAAAACUCCAUUGCAUGGAGAAAAAAACACCUUUCCGUUCAUAACUUAGAAAAUGGUUAAGACAGCUCUUCACAACUCAAGGGCAAUUAAGAUUGUUAGUGCUACAGAAGUUCAAGCCAUUACCGAAAAAAUGGAUAAGAUGGAACUUCUGCAUUGUUUUGGCAGAAAGCAAAUAUUUGUUCCAGUCCAGUUGAGGGAUGAGCUUGGUAAGCACUGCAGACCUAACUUUUAUCAUCAUAAUGUACAUAUUGAUUAUGAAAGAACAAAUGCAGAAACUGGAAACUAAUACAGACUUUGGUGAAAAACAUCUGCUGCUUUAAAAGUGACCUAUUGAAACUUUAAAUUAAUACCAUCAUUAUAGAACAAUAAUUUUCAAGAGCCUUCCUGUGAAGGGAACAUGGGAGUGAACUGAAGGACUUGAGCAUUUGCUAUCACAGUAAGUUCACCUAAGGUGAAAGGAAAGAGAGUGGGAAAAAUGCUAAUGUCCCUUGGUUGCUGCCAGCUGAGUGGGGGUACCCUUUGCCAGAAUACUCCCUGCCUUCCACUUCCACUUCGGAUCCAUCAUAGAAACUGCUACGUAAGCAAGCACAGGUUUUAAUAAAAGUACAUCAAGAGGGCUUAUAUUAGCAAUUACUGGCCACUCCUGGAAGGAGACAAGUGAAUACCCCCAUUUCACCUCUGCCCCUCAAAGGGAAAGCAGCAGGCCAGCAAUCUGCCAAUAUACAGAAAAGAAUUUCUACAUAUAGAUAUGAAUAUAGAGAAGUUGCACCACCAGCUUUAAGUACACGUUUCCCCUCUAAAGAAAGAGGUCUUUAGAAAUGAAGUUACAUAUGUAACAGUGAGAAUAAGGCAAAUAUAUACAGACCUUCUCAGAAGGUUUGCAAUGGUCACUAGUAAGACAGACUAACCCAAAGCUCGUUUGAGCUUGCAAAUGGCUUAAGAAAUGCACUUAAUUUCUAGUUGCUUCACUACAGUUAACAGGUUAAUCUGUCCAAUUAAUGAGUUGUACCAUCAUCAUAAAAACAAAGAAAAAACACAACUUCAGCAAUAUACAAGAAUAGGAAAG